UAUUUUACGAAAUAGCCGUUCUUAAGAAUAAUGACACUUCCAGUUAUGUUGUCAUAGUAAUAAUAAUAGUAAUAAAUAUAACAGGCAUUUUGUUAUGUAUUGAUAGUAUUGAUUGUAUUAUAUCAGAGAGAGUGAGAGAUGUAGGUCGAUGCGAUAUGUAAAUCAUAAUAUAUUCCAGAUAUUUUAAACGAUACCGGUAAUUUUGCUUUAUUUGUUUUGCUUAUCAUUUAAAGAGUGCAAAAUAAACGUCACUUGCUAUAUAAGUCGUGCCAAACAUAGUAAUUAUAUUUUUCCUUGUUUGUUUGGGGGAGGGAAAGAGAAAUAGUGCCGAUUAAAGUCUUGCCAAAUACUACGGGUGAAUUUUUUAAUAAUAUUUUGUUGCGUUUAUUAUUGGAAGGAAAGAAAAUAAGGGAAAAAAAAGGAAAGGAAAAGAAGAAAAAGAUCCUCUAAAAAUAUAUCAAAUACCACCAGUGAAUUUUUCUUAAUAUUUUGUUGCGUUUAUUAUUGGAAGGAAAGAAAAUAAGGGAAAAAAGGAAAGGAAAAGAAGAAAAAGAUUGUCUAUAAAUAUAUCAAAUACCGCCAGUGAAUUUUUCUUAAUAUUUCUUUCUAUUUAUUAUUGGAAGAAAAGAAAAUUUGGAAAAAAGAAGAAAGGAAAGAGGAGAAAAAGAAAAAGAUUGUCUAUAAAUAUAUCAGAUACCACAAGUGAAUUUUUCUUAAUAUUUCUUUCCAUUUAUUAUUGGAAGAAAAAAAGCAAGAUAAUAGGAAAAAAAGAAGAAAGUUAAGAGAAAAAGAGAAAAGAUAGUUUAUAAAAUUACCAAAUACCACCAGUGAAAUUUUCUUAAUAUAAUUUUGUGUUAUUUAAAGGAAAAAAAAGCACCGAUUCAACACACCAAUUUGAAGUGUUGCCAAAUACUACGGGUGAAAAUUUUCCAUAAUAUUUUGUUACGUUUAUUAUUGGAAGAAAAGAAAAUAAGGAAAAGAGAAGAAAGUAAAGAGGAAAUAAAGAAAAAGAUCCUCUAUAAAUAUAUCAAAUACCACAAGUGAAUUUUUCUUAAUAUUUUGUUCCAUUUAUUAUUGGAAAAGAAAAAAACGAGAAAACGGGGUAAAAAAGGAGAAAGUUAAAAGGAGAAAAAGAAAAAGAUCGUUUAUAAAAUUACCAAAUACCACCAGUUAAUUUUUCUUCAUAUUUUUGUGUUAUUUAAAGAAAAAAAAAAACAAUUAACAUUUUCCAGAUAAACCUUGCCAAAAAUAUAUAAACGGUGACAUUUUUGUUUCGUUUUCAGCCUGUUAUUUAUAGUCCAAUGUCUAAUAUGUUUACUAGAGUGUCUAAGUCCCCCCUUAAAACCUUGCGUACAUUUUCUCUAUAGAGGCGGCAAGGGUUGAUAUAUAUGUGUGUUUAAAAGUGUGCCCCCUUUAAAUAAUACCCUUGUUUAAGUUUUCUAUAUAAAGAUGGUGAGGGUUAGAAAAUAUAUAUGCUUACUUGAGUGCCCCAUUAAAAUCUUACUUUUGUUUACAUUUUCUAUAUAAGGAUAAGGGUAAAAAAUAUAUGUUUACUAGUCCCCCCUUAAAAUAAUACCCUUGUUUACGUUUUCUAUAUAAAGACAGCAAGGAUAAAAAAAUGCUUACUGGAGUGCCCCAUUAAAAUCUUACCUUUGUUUACAUUUUCUAUAUAAGGACAAGGGUAAAAAAUAUAUGUUUACUAGUCCCCCCUUAAAAUAAUACCCUAGUUUACGUUUUCUAUAUAAAGACAGCAAGGUUUAAAAAUACAUGUUUACUCGAGUGCCCUUAAAAUAAUACCCUUGUUUAUGUUUUCUAUAUAAAGACAGCAAGGGUAGAAAUUAUAUGUUUACUAGUGUCCCCCUUAAAAUAAUACCCUUGUUUACGUUUUCUAUAUAAAGACAGCAAGGUUAAAAAAUAUAUGUUUACUCGAGUGCCCCCUUAAAAUCAUACCCUUGUUUACGUUUUCUAUAUAAGGACAGCAAGAGUAAAAAAUAUACAUGCGUUCUAGAUUGGCUAAGUCCCCCCCGAAUAACCCUUCUUCAUUUUCUCUCUAUACACGACGCCAAUAAUAUUUUUCUGACGUUAAGGAAGUGCCGUGUAGCUUAUAGUUCCUUCAAGCAUCUAUAUUCUUUGCCAUAAUAAGGAAUACAUAGGAAAUACAUGCGUUCUAGAGUGGCUAAGUACCCCCCGGAUAACCCUUCAUUUUCUCUAUAUAAACGCCGGCUAAUAUUUUCUCAUAGGUCAAGGAAGUGUCGCGUCGCUUAUAAUUCCUUCAGGUGUUUAUACUUUUUGCCGUAAUAAGAAAUACAAGCUUACCAGUCUAGCUAAGUACCCCCCGGAUAUCCCUUCAUUUUCUCUAUAUAAACAACAACAAUAGUAUUUUUUUCAUAGGUUAAAGAAGCGUCGUGUAACUUAUAUUCCUUCAGGUGUUUAUAUUCUUUGCCAUAAUAAGAAAUACAAGCUUACCAGUCUAGCUAAGUACCCCCUGGAUAUCCCUUCAUUUUCUCUAUAUAAACGACAACUAAUAUUUUUUUCAUAGGUUAAAGAAGCGUCGUGUAACUUAUAUUCCUUCAGGUGUUUAUAUUCUUUGCUAUAAUAAGAAAUACAAGCUUACCAGUCUAGCUAAGUACCCCCCGGAUAUCCCUUCAUUUUCUCUAUAUAUACGACAACAAUAGUAUUUUUCUCAUAGGUUAAAGAAGCGUCGUGUAACUUAUAUUCCUUCAGGUGUUUAUAUUCUUUGCUAUAAUAAGAAAUACAAGCUUACCAGUCUAGCUAAGUACCCCCUGGAUAUCCCUUCAUUUUCUCUAUAUAUACGACAACAAUAGUAUUUUUUUCAUAGGCUAAAGAAGCGUCGUGUAACUUAUAUUUCUUUAGGUGUUUAUAUUCUUUGCCAUAAUAAGAAAUACAAGCUUACCAGUCUAGCUAAGUACCCCCUGGAUAACCCUUCAUUUUCUCUAUAUAUACAACAACAAUAGUAUUUUUCUCAUAGGCUAAAGAAGCGUCGUGUAACUUAUAUUCCUUCAUGUGUUUAUAUUCUUUGCCAUAAUAAGAAAUACAAGCUUACCAGUCUGGCUAAGUACCCCCCGGAUAUCCCUUCAUUUUCUCUAUAUAUACGACAACAAUAGUAUUUUUCUCAUAGGUUAAAGAAGCGACGUGUAACUUAUAUUCCUUUAGGCGUUUAUAUUCUUUGCCAUAAUAAGAAAUACAAGCUUACCAGUCUAGUUUAGUACCCCCUGGAUAUCCCUUCAUUUUCUC